rnacentral:rRNA from 1 species
GAAACUUACGCUAAUACCGCAUACGACCUACGGGUGAAAGCAGGGGAUCUUCGGACCUUGCGCGAUUGAAUGAGCCGAUGUCGGAUUAGCUAGUUGGCGGGGUAAAGGCCCACCAAGGCGACGAUCCGUAGCUGGUCUGAGAGGAUGAUCAGCCACACUGGAACUGAGACACGGUCCAGACUCCUACGGGAGGCAGCAGUGGGGAAUAUUGGACAAUGGGCGCAAGCCUGAUCCAGCCAUACCGCGUGGGUGAAGAAGGCCUUCGGGUUGUAAAGCCCUUUUGUUGGGAAAGAAAUCCAGCUGGCUAAUACCCGGUUGGGAUGACGGUACCCAAAGAAUAAGCACCGGCUAACUUCGUGCCAGCAGCCGCGGUAAUACGAAGGGUGCAAGCGUUACUCGGAAUUACUGGGCGUAAAGCGUGCGUAGGUGGUCGUUUAAGUCCGUUGUGAAAGCCCUGGGCUCAACCUGGGAACUGCAGUGGAUACUGGACGACUAGAGUGUGGUAGAGGGUAGCGGAAUUCCUGGUGUAGCAGUGAAAUGCGUAGAGAUCAGGAGGAACAUCCAUGGCGAAGGCAGCUACCUGGACCAACACUGACACUGAGGCACGA